rnacentral:lncRNA from 7 species
AUAUUGAACGCUGUUCGUCUGCAGCGCGCAGAUGACGCGGGGCCGGAGCGGGACGGCUGGGGCGUAAAUCACCGCUCUCUGCAAUGGCCCCAGCGGGGAACCCCGUGCCAUCGCCCCAUUUCGCCAUCCGAAGCGCGGUGCGGUGGCGGCGUGCCUUCAAAUUGAGUCGCUUCUCGGUCCGCGCUGGGAAAAGCAGACAUGUGUCCUCAAUUGUGCCGUAUGAAAAACCCGACUAAGCCUCUGCUGAAGACACCGAAUCGCCCUCGCCCUGCGCCUGCGGACAGACCUCGGUGGAGAGCGGCGGCAGAACCCAACCGCGCAAUUUCUACCUGCAAGGCAGCAGAGUGUACAGCCCCCCACUCCCACCCCGCAUCGAACGCAGCCAUAACUCAAUGCAAACUGCGGGGAGAGGCGUUUUCCACGUGGCAGCAGAUGAUGGAGGAGAUGUCCCACUCCUCUCCGCUGCUCGUACCGCGUGGGGUCGUUCCCUCCGGCUGCGGCGGUGCCGUCCUUCUCGCAGAGGUGCAGGAAACAGAUUCCCACCUUUGGUCUCCCACCGAAGCGAAUUGCUUUUUGGCUCAGCGCUCAUCCUAACCAACUUUCUCCCCCGUGUUUAUUUCACUGGUUGCGGCCGGCAAAGAAAAUCAAAUAAAAUAACGCUGAAACG